UACGUAGGCAGCGAGCGUUGUUCGGAGUUACUGGGCGUAAAGCGUGCGUAGGCGGUGUCUUAAGUUUGUUGUGAAAUCUCCCGGCUUAACCGGGAGGGUGCGGCGAAUACUGAGAUGCUGGAGUGCCGGAGAGGUAAGCGGAAUUCCUGGUGUAGCGGUGAAAUGCGUAGAUAUACAGGAGGAACACCGGCGGUGUAGACGGCUUUCUGGACCGUAGCUGACGCUGAGACACGAAAGCGUGGGUAGCAAACAGG
rnacentral:rRNA from 1 species